rnacentral:rRNA from 1 species
CCUACGGGUGGCAGCAGUGAGGAAUAUUGGGCAAUGGACGCAAGUCUGAACCAGCCAUGCCGCGUGCAGGAAGACGGCUCUAUGAGUUGUAAACUGCUUUUUUACGAGGGUAAACCCUGAUACGCGUAUCUGACUGAAAGUAUCGUACGAAUAAGGAUCGGCUAACUCCGUGCCAGCAGCCGCGGUAAUAAGGAGGAGUCAAGCGUUAUCCGGAUUUAGUGGGUGUAAUGGGUGCGUAGGCGGUCGGGUAAGUUAGAGGUGAAAGCACGAGGCUCAACAUCGGAACUGCCUCGGAUACUGUGUGACUAGAGUGUAGUUGCGGAAGGCGGAAUGUCUGGUGUAGCGGUGAAAUGCUUAGAUAUCAGACAGAACACCGAUGGCGAAGGCAGCUUACCAGGCUAUUACUGACGCUGAGGCACGAAAGCGUGGGGAGCAAACAGGAUUAGAUACCCGAGUAGUC